CGGGUGAGUAACACGUGGGUGAUCUGCCCUGCACUUCGGGAUAAGCCUGGGAAACUGGGUCUAAUACCGGAUAGGACGAUGGUUUGGAUGCCAUUGUGGAAAGUUUUUCGGUGUGGGAUUAGCUCGCGGCCUAUCAGCUUGUUGGUGGGGUAAUGGCCUACCAAGGCGUCGACGGGUAGCCGGCCUGAGAGGGUGUACGGCCACAUUGGGACUGAGAUACGGCCCAG
rnacentral:rRNA from 1 species